rnacentral:rRNA from 1 species
AGAGAGAGACAUGCGCGCAUAUCAAUAAGCGGAGGAAAAGAAACUAACAAGGAUUCCCUUAGUAACGGCGAGUGAAGCGGGAAGAGCUCAAAUUUGAAAUCUUCAAGGUUUUACCUUGACGAAUUGUAGUUUAAAGAAGUGUUUUCUGCUGAAGUUUUGGUAAAAGUUCUUCGGAAUAGGACAUCAUAGAGGGUGAGAAUCCCGUAUUUGACCAUUAUUUUCAGCUUUGUGAUACACUUUCAAAGAGUCGGAUUGUUUGGGAAUGCAGUCCAAAAUGGGUGGUAAAUUUCAUCUAAAGCUAAAUAUUGGCGAGAGACCGAUAGCGAACAAGUACCGUGAGGGAAAGAUGAAAAGAACUUUGAAAAGAGAGUUAAACAGUACGUGAAAUUGUCAAAAGGGAAGCGUUUGACACCAGUGUUGUUUUCUCGAAAAUCAAUUAAAAAUGGCUCGAUUUUGUAUUGCUGAGGAUCCUUAAAAGCUCACUGUACAUUUUUCGUGUCUUUUUUAAUGCACUUUUCGUUUAACAAGUCAACAUCUAGUUUCUUUUGUUGUAAAAGGGUCAUUGGAAGGUGGCUUUCUUUUCGGAGAAAGUGUUUAUAGCCUUUGGCCUCUGCAAUCGGAGAGACUGAGGUCUGCAGCGUAGACUCUUCGGGGUUAGAUACAUUUGUGCUAAGUUAUAGCUUUUUAUAGACAACUUGUUGACUAGUAAUUAGUCUUGUAGCCUACUCGCUUAUGCUAUUUUACCUACGCUUAGGAUGUUGAAGAUGUAGCACAUCAU